AAGGAGGCUGUUAAAGUUAACAUUCCUACUUGAUACCAUCUUCCUAGAUUGAAUCUGUCAUGUUUGUGCUUGCUGAACUUUUAGACUGUUCUGCUAGCCUUAACAGGCUGGAUAUCAGU
rnacentral:snoRNA from 1 species